rnacentral:rRNA from 1 species
UACAGAGGGUGCGAGCGUUGUUCGGAAUUAUUGGGCGUAAAGCGCGUGUAGGCGGCAGUGCAAGUCGGGUGUGAAAGCCCUCAGCUCAACUGAGGAAGUGCGCCCGAAACUGCAUUGCUUGAGUACCGGAGAGGAUGGCGGAAUUCCCGAAGUAGAGGUGAAAUUCGUAGAUAUCGGGAGGAACACCGGUGGCGAAGGCGGCCAUCUGGACGGAUACUGACGCUGAGACGCGAAAAGCGUGGGUAGCAAACAGG